ACGCUCGACACCUACGGGAGGCAGCAGUGGGGAAUAUUGCACAAUGGGGGAAACCCUGAUGCAGCGACGCCGCGUGAGCGAAGAAGUAUUUCGGUAUGUAAAGCUCUAUCAGCAGGGAAGAAACUGACGGUACCUGACUAAGAAGCACCGGCUAAAUACGUGCCAGCAGCCUCGGUAAUCUGAGCGGGCUGGCAAGGC
rnacentral:rRNA from 1 species